AGCAUGGACUACUAGUUCAGAAGCAAUCUGUGACAUGGGAAAAGGAGAUGUGAGUUGUAGAAGGGGAAGGAAGAAGGGAAAGUAAGCGGAGGGGAGAGGGAGAAGACUGUUGUAUUUUGUCAGUUUUCUCUUGGAAGAAAUUGCCAAGAAUCUGCAUGGAGGGGGAUGUGGAGGCAGUUGAAAUUCUUGUUGUCUUCGCUUUAUCUAGGUGUAAUUAUUUUCCUUAAUAUUCUUUUUAAACCAUCACUUUCUCUGUGUAAGAAGGCAGACUUAGUGUAAGUCUAUACCGCAAAGGAAAACUCGAGACUGGCUCUUGCCAGCUGACUUUGGCUCACAGGGCUUGGGUCAUGGGGCUGUUUCAUUUUCAUGUAGAGUUCCAGGCUUGGGCUGGUGCAUGAGCCCUGUGAGUCUGAAUCGACUGGUAUGGGCCAACCACAGGUUUUUCUUUGCUAUGUAGACAUACCCUUGCUGACUUGGGCUCAGGGUAAGGAGCUGUUUAACUGUGGGGUAGAUGUUCAAUCUCAGGCUGCAGCCCGAACUCUUGGACCCCCCCGCCCACCUUGCAGGGUACUAGAGCUGGGCUUGAGCCCAGAUAUCCACAUUGCAGUUAAAUAGCCCUGCAUGCCCAAGUCAGCUGGCACAGGCCAACCGCGGGUUUUUAAUUGUAGUGUAGAUAUACCCUUGGUGACUUUCUAAUGAUCAUCAGGGAAUGUUAAUGUUAAGUGCUUCUCCAAGGACGAAAGCACAUUACCUUCUGCUCACCUGACUUCCAUCAAAAUGAGCAAAAAUAUCAAGGUCAUUCCCAAACUCAUUUCCCCUUUUAGAAACAUGAGCGGUUACCAUUAACUCUUCAGCCAACUUUUUAAGAAAAUGUAGACAUUUAUGGGAAACUACAAGUGGAAUAAUAUAAAGAAUGAAAACUUCAACUAAAAACAGUGACAUGUUUAUCACAAGUAGUAGCUUUCUGAAUGUUUGGAAUACGAAGGGUGAGAUUCUGAUCUAUGAUCUUAUCAAAGCUGCCCAAAAUCUUGCUUAUAUGCAAAAGGCCUAUAAAGAAGCUCCUUAAGCCAUUUUCCUCUUCCUUUGUGCACUUGUUCAGUGAUUGGCCCUAAAGAUGCAGUAUGAUCUUGUUGACUGAGCACAGAACAAGGAAUCUGAAUUCUAUUCCCUGCUCUGCCGAUGGUUUGUUAUAUAGCCUUAAGCAAGUCUCUUAAUCUCUCUUCCACUGCUUUCAUAGCUGCAAAGUGAGAAUAAUUCUUAAUCUUGAAACAUACCAUUGAGCUGGAAGUAUGCUUAUGAGCUUAGUUAAACAUUAAUUUGCACUGAACUUUGAAGAUAUCAGGUAUUAAAAGGCCUUGUCUAUAUUAGAGAAAUUUGGCUGCUGGCAUGCCUGUAACAUACCCAUGUGUCCACACAAAUUUACUCACAUUGGUUCACAGACAGUCACACACUUAGAUUGCACUUCCUCUGGUCAAGGCAAGUCACCAUGUUGGGCUCCAUUAAUAUAAUGCUAGCUGAUUAUGAAGCAAGUCUUGGAAGAAGCCAUUGUAUGAGUACUCUCUUCCAUGUGGCCCAUGGCAGAUGCCUGGGCACUUGAGAGAAUCUGAGAGACAAAAUGGUUGUUGCAGCUGAAACUCUGUAAUUUGGUACUUCCUUGUCCCUGGAAAGCAGGGUAUUGCUUGCUCUGAGAAACAGAGUAAGGAAAAAAUAAAAACGUUGAGGGUCCAAUCCAGUAUGGGCCAGGGUAAUAUCUACUCUGGGGCAGACAUGAAAACAUGUCUUUCAAUGAACUAGUCCCUGUCAUUAGGCCUUUUCCGUCUGUGGAGUCUGAGGUACUAUUGGACAGUAUCUAGACACCCAGCAUAAGGCUUGUAAGGAUCUGAAUGGAGGACACCAUUAGGAUGGUUGAGUCCAAGGCAGGGGAUAUUUCAAAACCAAGAUGUGCUGGAGACCAUGCUGGGAUCACAGGACCUAUUAAGAAUUUCUGGAGUUGGCAGUGAAGAUUGUUCAGGCGGAAGAGUAUUCUGGAGAUGAGGGGACUUCUGUAUAAGUGACUACUAUUGCACCAAGAGCAUCACAGAGCAGAAAAGGAACCAGGAAUCCAGAAACACACGUAGUUGAGUGCCUGACCAUCCUCUGGGGAAGGAAAGUGACAGAGAUCUUAAUGUUUUGGUUUUGGUUUGGUUUUUUUAAGCACACUCUUACAGAGUUUGAGGAGCUACAUACCAACAUUUUAUUUUUUAUUUUUAAGACAACUGAUUUAGCCAAGAGAACAGAGUAUCAAUGAAUAAAUAUACAUCGUGAUAGAGGAAUGAAGCUGCAGGAGCAAGAGGUACAUGAGGAGUUCCUGAAAGAAUACUUGCAGUUGCAAAGGCAGCAAGCACUUUUAUCCCAGCAGUAGUCCCCUGCACUUGUUAAAUAUGCCAUGGUACAGGAGAGCAGCAGCUUUUGUUGGGCUGCCACCUAUACUCGUAUGCUCCCUUCUAUAUGUUCUCGUAGCACUCCACUUGUGCCAGCAAUCAAGACAAAGAGACCGGGAAUCCCCAGCACAUGACUUUCUUGACUCUGCAGUCUGCAAAUAUUUCAUUGUUGCUUUUUGUAUUUUCCGUGGCUUCUUUUUGCAAUUGUAGGCUUAAUAAAUUUGAUUUGUGCCUUUUA